rnacentral:lncRNA from 1 species
UCAUCAAAGAACACGGAGCUGCCCCAUGGAGAAUCAUAUUCCACCUAAGAAAUUCUGCAACAAAAUAGAACACUUUUUCCUAAAGAAGAACAUUUCAGUGUAUGUUAUGGUCACUAUCUCAUUUGUGAUCUGGAUGCUAGAAGAUGAAUGAAGGACGGUCAUACCAAGAGAUCCUGCCAGCUGGUACUCAACCCUCAAGGAGAGCUUUACAGAUUCA